rnacentral:lncRNA from 1 species
AAAUAGCAGGACAAUUUGGUCACUACAUCUAGCAAAAUGGGAAAGAAAACAGAGGAACAUGAGGCAAUAACGAAGUUAGCUAGGAAAGGAGUUUUUUCAGUUUAAAAGACUAAAAACUGACAAUUAUUUCGAAUAAGUAAAGCCAAGCCAAGCCAUUUGUGGUACUAAACUAGUCAACUCACAAAUCCAGAACAAUUCAAAGGAAGAAUACCAAAGUGAACAUUAGUCCCAAAUUGGGGUCUAAAGUUCACCGCUCCACUAUAUAAGGCCAUUUCUCUGCAACAUCUUCUAAAGAACAAACACAAAUUCCAAAAGAAAAUUGAACCUACUCCGCAUUUAGAUAAGUAGUCUUAUUGUUUCACGAAAACAGAUGAAUAAAAUAAAGCAACAAAACUUAUUUCCAGGGUAAGAUGAAGAUUAGAACCUCGCGAAAUGGGUAUUCAUCAGCUUCAAGCAUACGUACAACCUGGCUCAUUUUGGGUCUGUUCUCUGCAUCAUGAUCAACACACCUUAGUGCAACCAAAAGGGCACGUUUUAAGGCACGUGUACUGGGUUUAACUUCAAGGUUUGGAUCCACAACAUCCUCUGAUCUUCUUGCACCUACCAUCAAUUUUAGCCACUCAACCAGAUUGACCUGCCAUGAGUAUUAAGAAAUGCUUCUCAAAAAUCUGUACAUAAUAAUAAAGCUUUUGAUAAUCAGUAAGAACCAUGCAUCAUGAGGAUGAGAAUGAGAAAGAGUGAGAGGACUGCUGAAGGAAGUCACUAUCAAAAAUAGUAAACAAUGGUUUUGAAAUUCUGAACCUCAUUAGCAGGUCGGCCAUAGUCCACAGGGUCCCUUCCCGUAACUGCUUCAAGCAGGAGGACACCAAAGCUGUAGAUGUCGCUCUUCUCAUUUAACAAGCCAGUAUUAGCAUAUUCUGGUGCCACAUAACUGCACGAUGAACCAAAAUUUAUGGUCCAAUCAGAAGAUACUUCGUAGAUAAAUUAUAAUAGGUUAAAAAUAUAAGAAUUUACAUACCCAAAAGUCCCCAUCACUCUAGUUGUGAUGUGACUUUCACCUGAACCCAAGAGUUUGGCCAAUCCAAAAUCAGAAACCUUGGCAUUGAACUCAUCAUCAAUCAAAAUGUUGCUUGAUUUUAUAUCUCUGUGGACAACUUUUGGUUCUAUAGCUUCAUGUAGAUAAGAAAGCCUGCAAUUCAUAUGUAAGUCAUUUGUCCAUUGGUUGGGAUACAAAAAUUAAAUAAGAAAACUAUCAUAUAAAACACAUUUCAGUGAAAGAUAAAAACUUACGCUUUAGCAGUACCAAGAAUCACCUUCAUGCGGGCCUCCCAAGUAAGGGUGCCAUGUUGGCGCAUGGCCCCAUGUAGCCAUUGUUCUAGGUUGCCAUUGUUCACAUAUUCAUAUACCAGCAUCCUGUGCAAAUUGCAACACAUUGCAACUUAGCAAGAACAAGAAAAACUGAACCCAAAACACAAAUGUGAAGCUAUACGCUAGGCAGAAAGAGAGGGGAACAUUAGACAGAAGCCCUCCUAAUGUGAAAAUAGUAGACACGCCCAAGUCAUUAGGAAAAAUAUAAGUAAUUUAAUAUUAAAAUAAAAGGUUAAUAAUACCUGUGAACCCCUUCUAUGCAGUAGCCCAAGAGCCGCACAAGAUUUUUAUGCCGAACAUGACCUAUGGCCUCCACUUCAACCCUAAAUUCUUUCUCCGCCUGCCCCCUGUAUACCAGAUCAAAAAAGCAACUAUUAGAAAAGAAAAAGAAAUUUAGAGGUUUCCUGAAAGCACGGUGAUAACAAAGAUGGCGCAUUUGAGUUUAUAUCCUUACAAAUUAUUUAAGAGCUUUUUCACUGCCACAUCAGUUCCAUUGAUCAGCCUGCCCUUGUAAACAACCCCAUAUCCACCCUCUCCAAGCACAUUUUCUGCAGAAAAACGAUUUGUAGCAAACUGCAGAUCCCUAAGAGUAAACCAGUGGCCCCACCCAAGAUGAGAAACUUCUGGCAAGCCAAUUAAAGGAGAGGCUGUUACAAGUCCUCCAUAUGACAAUGACGACUGCUUUCGCACAUUCCCAGAGCUUCCUUCUUCCCCUGACUGUGAACUACAUGCCCUCUCAUGAUGAUAAAUUGAGCUGCACUGACUCAUGUUAUCAGGAUCACUUGAUUUGCUCAUGCCUAAAUGGACUAACAUCUUCUCUGAAUUCUUAUCACUUGCUUUCUCAGGUACUGAAAGAAAUAAAUUAUCAGGGUGAUCGUGGGUACUCUGAGCCCCAACCUUAUCAACAUUGAUAUCUUUAGAGAUAUUUGGUAUUUGGGUGACUGGGAAUUUGUCCAGUGAUCUUCGAGAUUUCCUCCGAAAUGUAACCCAUAUAGAUAAGAAACAUAGGAUUGAAACAAUAAAUGCGCCAACACAUAUACCAAUUACAACCCAUAGUUUUAAACCCAAAAAUCCUAUCUUCUUCGAUAAUUCCGCAUUCAAAGAACUUCCGGAUGACAUUCUUAUCCUCUGGAUGCUAUAUAUUGAACUUGGCUUGGUGUUCUAACUUUCAGUGCCAGAAAAAAAAAAAUUUAAGACAUUCCAACCUGGACAUGAGAAACAAAUCAUGUAACUCAAAGCACGUGAAAAGGGUCGCAGAUAUCUGAGAUUUCUAAUUUGUAAGAUGUGAUUUUGCUGAAAAAAAUGCAGGUUUAUUAUAUUGGCAAUAUUAGUUAAUAUGUCUUUAACUAAUCCAUCGCAUCCUAUUCCUAUGUAACACUCAAAUUCCAUAAUUGAUGAAUAGAUAAUCCUGCAAAAUUCAAUCUGGAAAUACUAGAUUCUUAACUGUCUUCAAAUAUUAAUCAUAUUAAAGAAGAACCAAAGGUGCCCAAAAGUAAGUAGAAUCCGAUACAAUAACUGAGAAGAUUGAUGCUUUAUUAUUUUUAAAAGUUUAAGAAGCUUGAUUACACUGGCAUUAAUGGUUUCACAAGCAAACAGUGAGUGAAUACCAGAUAAAACGCCGGCAACACUAUAAAUUUCAGAUUCCAUGUAUAAAGCGAGCACAUGCCCACACCAACAUAUAAAAAUUAAAUUCCAAUUCUUCAUAAAAGAGAAAGGGAAAAUCUCAAACAGCAUCACUUAUGAUCCAAGCAAGAGACCAAUAAAGAGAAAUGUGAGUGAGUCUGUGUAAAAAGUGUUUCAAAGAAGAAAGCAUUUACCUUUGUAGCGAUCUAAGCUAGCCCCCUUGAUCUUCUUCCUUGAGAACCCAGAGAAGAAAAGAAGGGGCUUCUUUUUGAACCAAGACAGACUCAAUAAGCAUAGAUAGGCCAAUGCAGACCUGAAAUAACUCGAACCCACCAAAACCCAGAUGUCGAAAAAGGAAAGGUUUCCAGAGGAGUAGUUUACAAGUAGAGGGGGAUGUGUCCUCAAGUGGGCCAAAAAGAAUUCAGAGAAGCAUAAAAAUAAAAAUAAAUAAAUUAAGAAGAAAAGAAAAAAUAAGGAGAGGCAAGCCAGACAAAAAUCUAAUCUUUCAAGAGAAGGGCAGAGAAAAUGGAAAUGUGGGAGAAGGGGAGAGAGAAAGGAAAGGAAGACGUGAAUUUAUAUAUGUAAAAUAUGGGGUGGAUUUUAGAGGAGCACAAAAGAAAAGGUGGGUAAAAUGGUUGGUGGGUGUUUUGUCUGUGUGAAGGAGAGGGGCCUCCAAAGCAAGCUGGAAAGGAAGCUUGGCUUGGUUUGCAAUGGAGGAAACCAGAGAAUGAGAGAGAGACGGAGAGAGAAACAGUAAAGAAAAAGCAAAACUGAGGUGAACAGAGAUGGGGCAUUUAUAGCUGGUUAAGAAAACAAAUUGAUUAAGCCAACAAAAGUAAAGUGGAAUACAUGUAGAGAGAGAGAGAGUCAACCCAACACUAAAACAGGAGGGAACUGCAAAUCUAGCUUGCCCUAAGGUUUAGUUACCAAACUGCCCUCAUGUCUUAAAGCAAAUCCUGUUUGAAAUGAAAUCUUAAAAUAUUUAACUUUCAGGGAAGACAGAGACCGUAAUAGCCUGUCAUUGCAUGCUUAGCAACUGACAGACAAAUUGGAGGCGUGAUGGAGGUCCAUAAAACUUAGCUCCAGAGACUAAAAUAUAUUUUUGUUUUUAUUAAUUAAGCAUUAACAACCUUGAUUACUUUGUCAAUAAACUAUCUUCCUUUCCCUUUUUUUUUUUUUUUUUUUUUUAACGAAGAAAGAAAGAUAUAUUAAAUGCGAAUAGAGCAGUUUACAUCAUGGGCAAGGCAAUGAACAACACACCAUAUGCUUGCUUUACCAGAUGAAAAGCUUUGUUGUAGGCUUGUCGCUGUAACACCUCCACAUUUUUUGGAGUUCUUAUCAUUUCAAUUAAUUACUUUUAUAGUAAGAAAAGCAUUUGUCCUUCUUUUUGGUAAAUAAUUUUUAACCAUUUGUCUAGGUUAGGUGAUUGGAUCAAACUUCUAUUUAUAUGGAUAAGGUAAUAUUUUGUUGCUAAAAAUAAUGCCUUAACUCUUGCUUUACAAACCAUUUAGAAUGUAUACUUGGAAAACAAUAACAGAAUUUUUUUAAAAAUGAAUAUGCCUAUGCAUUUGCAUUGCACACACAUUCUUGAAUGAUAUAUUUGAUAAAAAAAGAAGAAAAGAAAACUAAUGAAUUUAAAUGUCAAUAAUCAAAGUCAGCAUUGUUAGGCCCCUCAAAUUCAAAGAAAAUUUAACAUACCAUGGGUGGAAUUUUGACCUUUUACAUAAAGUAAUUUCAUUCUUAGAAUAGAAGGGUAGACGAGACUCCAAAUGCGUAGACGUUUAUUUUUUCAGAUGAAAUAAAUCAUGAAUUUGUUUUUUUUAAUAAAUGAAACGAGCAUGUGAAUUGUACCCCAUGAAAAAACAUAUUGUCUAAUACGGUACGGUGAAUUUCAUUUGUGCUUCUCACAUCGCUCCGUGAACACUCCAAUGAAUGCAUUAGUGUAGAUACAUUAUUUUUUAACCAAAAACAUACGUAAAUAAGACUACCUUGUACGUAAUAGUCAUAAAUCUAUAUAAAUUUUCUUUAAGUUAAUGUUUGUAUGUAUGUAUCUUCACCCUUUUUGUGAAAAUUAAUAUUAAUUUGUUCCAACGAUACAAAUUUGUUGAUGAUGUCACAUGUGGUUUUAAGCCUUCAAAUUAAGAUUUUGAAGAAUCCUUGUGAUAAAUUUUAGUCACUCUAUAAUCCAAAAGAUGGAUUGCCGAAUCUAAGUAAAAUUAUAUCUGUAUCUCGAGAAUUCUUCUUAUUAUAAAUUUGGGUUAAUCAAUAAUUUAAAACAGGGAUGUCCAAAUCUUAGUAAAUUUAUAUAUGAGAAGUAUCCCAAUAGUUCUCCUUGUGAUAAAUCUUUGUCACUCUAUAAUCCAAAAAAUGGAUUACAGAAUCUGAGUAAAUUUAUCUCCAUAUCUCAAGAAUUUGAUGUAGAGCUAUCAAGAUAAGGAUUUCAAUAAUUGAUGUAAUUCAAAAAGAGGAACCACUAUAGAUAUAGAUGCAUUACCAAAUCUGAGUAAAUUUAUGCUUAUCCAACUUUAUAUAUUUUUUUAAAUUCAUGGAAAGGUAUAAUUAUAUGAGUUUUGACAAAACCAACAAAAUUAUUUAAAAACAUGUUGCAACGGUUCUGAAGGGUAAAAUUGUCAAUUAGAACUUGAUUAUUUGACUAAACCUAACCCUGUAAACUUUUAACAGAGUAAUUAUAGUUUAUGAUAAACAAAUGUGCCUUUCUUGAUUACCAUCAUGGCUUGGGACUUGGGGUCUCAUAAAGCCCCCAAUUGGGAGAAGGAACAGAGUCUUUGAUUUGAAGUCUAACUUUUGAUUAAAAAUAAAUUAAAAUAUUUUGGGGAUAUUUUAUUAUGCUAACCCAAAACUUUAAAGUAAACCUAUUGGAUUGGGCCUUUCCAAAAGGGUUAAAAAAAAAAAAAAAAGAAGAAGCAACCAAUGAGAUUCAUCUCAAAGGGCCCACAUCAGAAAUCUGUGAGGCCAAAAUUUUGAUUUGAAUGGCCAAUCCCAUUCUUCCAAUUGUUCUAAAUCAUGUGCUUUCACUUCCUUUCCAUUAGCCUGUAAUGGAUUAGACCAAAAUGGAUAUGAUUUCCCACUGCACGUGCAUGUCACGUGAGAUGACAUUGAUAUGACAUAAAUGACCCCCUUCACUUUCUAGUCAGCAGGCUCGAAUCUAAGCUCGUGUCACCUUCUGUUCAGCCAUUGCUGUAAAAUGGUAUUUUAUUUUAAAUUAAUUCAUCUAUUAAAAAGAAUUUGUUAACUGAGUGUGUUAAAGGAAAGAAAUUGGUCAACUAUUGUGAUUACCUCAAUCUUAGUAAUUAGCUAAGUUUACGAUCAUUACAGCUACUGUGAUUUACAUACUUAGAAUAGAUUCCAUGCUUACUUAGAAUAGAACUUCCAUUCUGUAUAAAUCUUGUACAUCAUGAUCUCAAGGAAUCAAUACAAUAUAUACAGCCUUCUACAUUCUUUCAUGGUAUCAGAGCACCAACAUAGGUGACUCUGUCCAGCACGUCUUCCGCUACCAAAACCAAACACACAAACAACCAACCUACACAGCCCAUCAACAUGGGUGAUGAAAAAUCAUCCGGAUCUGAAAUCAACAUGUCUGAUCCACUUAUCCUACACCAUUCCGACUCACCCGGUCUGGUUCUAGUUUCGAAACCUCUCGAAGGCCAUGACUAUGGUCAAUGGAGUCGCUCGAUGCGAAUUGCCUUGAGCGCUAAAAACAAACUAGGAUUCAUUGACGGGACUAUCAAAGCCCCAGCAAAAACUGAUGCCAAAUUCUCCAUUUGGCAGAGAUGCAACGAUAUGGUGUUAUCCUGGAUUUUGCACUCACUACAACCCGACAUCGCAAGCAGUGUACUUUACUGCACCAGCGCAUCCAUGGUGUGGAAUGAUCUUAAAGAUCGGUUCUCACAAGGCAACGACUCCCGGAUUUACCAAAUCCGUCAAGAAAUUGCCGAACAUCGACAAGGCCAUCUUUCGAUUUCAGAGUAUUACACCAAACUCAAGGCCUUAUGGGAUGAAUUGGAUUCAUAUCAUGAACCCAUCAUCUGCACUUGCGAAGGUUCCACAACACGUGCUUCCAGAGAAGAGAAGGAGAGAGUCAUGCAAUUUUUAAUGGGUCUGAACGAACCUUAUUCAACUGUGCGUGGGUCAAUUCUGAUGAUGUCACCGAUCCCAGACACACGUCGUGUCCAUGGCCUGAUCCUCCAACACGAAAGGCAGCUGGACGUGGCAAAUCGACAGACCGGAUCCCAUGCCAUGCAAAUCAUACGUUCUGCAAACACCAAGGGCGGCACCAACCCAGGCAACUCGGCAGCAGCGGCGAAACCUUCUGGUGCUGGGGACGGAAAAUACAGCUCCAACUUCAGGAAGUCUCUAAAAUGUUCUUAUUGUGAUGGAGACACCCACACCAUUGACACUUGCUUUUUCCUUAAUGGAUUUCCUGUAGGCCACAAACUCCAUGGGAAGAAUGUCAAGCCCAAAAACAAACGGGCUGCUUACACUACUGAAAAGGAUCCAACCCCAGGGCCCCACGUCAAAUCCAAUGACAGCCCCACUUUCACUACUGAAGAAUACAAUCAACUGAUCGCUCUUUUACACGAUCGACCUGGUAAUUCUCAUCUUGCAAAUGCAACAGGUAUUGUUACAUCAACCUGCAACCUUUCACAGCAUGUCCCACUUUCAAAUUUCUAUUGGAUCAUGGACAGUGGAGCAUCAGAUCAUAUUUCGUGUUUUGCACCUUCACACAACACAGUCAAUACUCAACAUGAUUUUGUUGGUUUACCUAAUGGCGGGAAAGCAGCCAUUAAAAACAUUGGAUCCAUUAAAGUGUCUGACACCUUAACUCUAGAUGGUGUUCUUCAUGUACCACAAUUCAAUGUGAACUUAUUGUCUGUGAGCAAAUUGACACGAGGAUUGCAGUGUAUGGUGACUUUUUUUGAUAAAUUUUGUGUUGUGCAGGACGUGAAUACGGGGAGGACGAUUGGCCUGGGCAAGCAAUUUAAUGGGCUCUACUACCUCAAAGCCACCCAAAACCCACAUCUAGCUCAUCAUGUUCACCACACCUCCCAUCUUUGGCAUCAACGUCUGGGACACCCAUCCAACGCCCCUACUCAAUUUCUUUCCAAUAAAUUUCCAGAAAUUAUCUGUGAUAACAAUCAUGUUUGUGAUAUUUGUCCUUUAGCAAAGCAAACUCGCUUAUCUUUUUCUCCAUCUACUUCAAUGUCAUCUCAUGCACCUUUUGAUUUAAUUCAUUGUGACAUUUGGGGGCCACAUAAAAUUCACAAUCAUACCGGUGCCCGAUAUUUUCUCACUAUUGUGGAUGAUUUUACCCGUUUUACAUGGAUCCAUCUCUUAAAUUUUAAAUCAGACACACAAGGGGUGAUAAAAUCUUUUUUCUCUUGGGUCAAAACCCAAUUCAAUCUUCAUGUCAAAACCUUGCGUGCCGACAAUGGGAGUGAAUUUCUUUCCCUCCAACCUUUUUUUCGAGACACCGGUACCUCUUUCCAACACUCAUGUCCAUAUACACCCCAACAAAAUGGCAUCGUCGAACGAAAACAUCGCCAUCUUUUAAAUGUGGCUCGGGCACUCCGUUUUCAGGCCAAUAUUCCUUUACGUUUUUGGGGAGAAAGCUUACACACUGCAUGUUAUCUCAUAAAUCGCCUUCCAACACCAUUACUCCAACACCACUCUCCAUAUGAACUUUUACACCACAAAACUCCUGAUUAUUCAUUUUUACGAGUUUUUGGUUGUCUGUGUUAUGCUACCAAUCUCCUUCCCAAACACAAGUUUGAUGCACGGGCCCGUCGAUGUGUUUUCUUUGGUUAUCCCCUUGGUCAAAAGGGUUAUCGCCUUUAUGACCUCAGCACACAAAAAAUUUUUUCCUCUCGAGAUGUGGUUUUUCAUGAAAAUAUAUUCCCUUUCUCUACCACACCACCUGAACCACAAACUGACACUAUUGUCCUACCCACUCCAGCCCAUGACCCCUUAUCCCAGACCCAGGAAAGCCCCACCUAUUCUUCUUCUCCUCACUCUCUUCCCCAUCCGGCCCAUAGCCCUCAGCCCUUGGCCCACGACCCACCCCUCACUUAUUCACCCUCCCCAUCUCUUAUCCCACCCGUGCCCCCUAUUCUCUCUGGUUCUUCUCCUUCAUCACCGACGCCCACCCAUGCAUCUUCACCAUCCUUCGAUGCCACGACGUCACCCUCUCCGGCCCUUUCGUCCCCUCCACAACCUCUUCCUCCUUCUCUCACCGACGCCAAUCCCAUUUCUCCCGACCCACCUCUGCGCAAAUCCACCCGAUCUACCAAACCCCCUCCCCAUUUCAAGGACUACCAAGCCCACCAUGCCGCCCUGCUUGCUCCAGGAGUUCCUUCCCCCAUCACGUCAGGUACUCGCUACCCCAUCACUCGGUAUGUCACUCAUUCCAAUUUUUCGGAACCUCAUCGUUUUUUUGUCAACAAUAUCUCCCAAUUGGUUGAACCUAACACUUAUGAGGAGGCCCGUCACAACCCCCACUGGGUUGAGGCUAUGAACUCCGAAAUUGCAGCUCUGGAAGCGAACCACACUUGGUCGUUCGUUCCGUUACCAGCUGGCCAUCGUCCGAUUGGGUGCAAAUGGGUUUUCAAACUCAAGUACAAUUCUGAUGGUACCCUGGAGAGAUACAAAGCUCGCUUGGUCGCCAAAGGGUUCACCCAGCGUGAGGGAAUCGAUUAUACUGAGACCUUUGCUCCUGUUGCUAAACUUAUCACUGUCCGUUGUCUCCUCACUGUUGCCUCUGUUCACAAUUGGCUGCUUCAUCAGAUGGACGUGCACAACGCUUUCCUUCAUGGCGACCUCCAUGAAGAGGUCUACAUGCUUCCACCGCCAGGUUAUCAACGACAGGGGGAGCACACUGUGUGUCGUCUCCACAAAUCCUUAUAUGGUCUUAAACAGGCAUCUCGAAGUUGGUUUCGUAAGUUUUCCUCUGCUAUACAAAAUAUUGGUUUUUCUCAAUCCAGAGCAGAUUAUUCUAUGUUUACACACAAACAUGGUAAAUCCUUCACUGUUAUAUUGUUGUACGUUGAUGAUAUGAUAAUUACUGGAAAUGAUGAUGAUGCCAUACGAGAUCUUAAACACUUCCUUGGCACUUGUUUCAAAAUCAAAGAUCUUGGACCUUUAAAGUAUUUUCUUGGAGUUGAAAUUGCACGGUCCAAAUCUGGGAUUUCUUUUUGUCAACGGAAGUAUACACUGGAUAUUUUGGAAGAUGCAGGUUUACUUGGUGCAAAGCCUACAAAAAUUCCUAUGGAAGCCAAUGUUGCACUCAUGCCUACAGGGAGUGACCCUCUCAAGGAUCCUACUUGCUAUCGCAGACUUGUUGGCAGGUUAAUCUAUCUCACAAUAACAAGACCCGAAAUCACAUAUGCGGUGAAUACUCUAAGUCAGUUUAUGCAUGAACCCCGAAUGCAUCAUUUUGAGACAGCACGUCGGCUCCUCCACUACCUCAAAUGAGCUCCUGGCCAAGGGUUAUUAUUCCCUUCACACGGGCCCCUCCACUUGACAGCUUACUGUGACGCGGAUUGGGCACGAUGUCCUUUUACACGGCGCUCAGUUACUGGAUACUGUAUAUUCCUUGGCAAGUCACUCAUAUCAUGGAAAAGCAAGAAGCAAGUCACUGUCUCAAGGUCAUCUGCAGAAGCUGAGUACCGCUCUAUGGCAGCCACCACUUGUGAACUCACUUGGUUGCGAUAUCUCUUACGGGACUUACAAGUGGAACACAAUCAGCCAGCCACCUUACUCUGUGACAACAAAGCAGCCCUCUACAUUGCAGCCAACCCAGUGUAUCAUGAACGGACCAAGCACAUUGAAUUGGAUUGCCAUACCGUUCGUGAGAGAAUUCAAAAUGGGGAGAUCAAGACAGUUCAUGUGCAAACCAAACAUCAAGUUGCAGAUAUUUUCACUAAGCCGCUACCUGCCCCCUUGUUCCAAUCCCAUCUUGGCAAGUUGGGUGUAAUUGAUAUUCACACUCCAACUUGAGGGGAGUGUUAAAGGAAAGAAAUUGGUCAACUAUUGUGAUUACCUCAAUCUUAGUAAUUAGCUAAGUUUACGAUCAUUACAGCUACUGUGAUUUACAUACUUAGAAUAGAUUCCAUGCUUACUUAGAAUAGAACUUCCAUUCUGUAUAAAUCUUGUACAUCAUGAUCUCAAGGAAUCAAUACAAUAUAUACAGCCUUCUACAUUCUUUCAGUGUGGAGUGGAGGAGGAAUAUUUUUCAUGCUUCGGGGCAUGGGGAAGCAAUUUGCACCACAGAAGACAAAUGUUUGCAUAUUCGAUCUCGGACUUACAAAUUUGGAUAAGUUAUAUAUAUAUUCACAGAUUUGAACUGCUAAAACCUGGAAGUUGUCCAUGCACUACUUCACAGAUGAAAUCCUGUUAAAGCUUUAACACUUGAGGUGUUGAGGUAUUGAAUUAUCGCAUGUUUGAUCUCUUUGCAUGUGGAAGUUAAGCAUCUUCUUUUUGCCAUAUGAACAGCAAAUAGUGGAAGUAACUCAUACAAUCAAAAGUUCGCUCUUUUAUAUUUUCAACUGCUAGGGUGCUUAUGGUUGAUGAAACAAUAACAUUCACUCUACAUUCCCUCACAUGGUAUGAUUUUUUUUUCUCUUUAUUGGAGUGGCUCAUGUUGUUCACAAUACAAAUGUAAACUUUGCAGCUGCUCUAAUUGUGACAAGAAAGGAAACAUGGCGUAGAAGGGCAAUCUGAAAUCGGGUGCAAGAAUUUUGUGCUCUCACCAAAAUUCUCAUAAACAGUCACAUAAUAUCUCUUAUCGUAGGCAACGAAGAUGUUGAUGCCAAAAAAUGGAAGACCACUAUAGGACUCAAUUUAGAAGUGAUUAUUUCUUCGGUCUUGUGGGCCCUUCGACAGAGGGGAGAGUAAUCUGCAAAGAGAAGGGAAAGACCAAGGUUGUUUGACUCCUUAUAAAGAAAUGAUUUUUGAAUUCCAAAUUGCUGCUGGACUUCUCAUAAAGAAAGAAUAUGAUUUAUCUCUUUGUUUCCUUGUUGAUCAAGAAUGCUCAAGGGAUCAAAACUCAAAUCACUCCCCUUGUGCUGGACCCCCUAUUUAAUUUCUUCUUCUUUUUGGCUUACGGCAAGGAUAAGAGACAGAGAGGCUUUGCACGUUGUGAGAGAGAGAGAGAGAGCCGAUUGCGCCCCCUGAGAAGCCGAGGCCAGGUCAAUUUUUUUUUCGAUGGCCAGUUGACCGAUUCUACUAAGCCGAGGCUAGCCGCCAAGUUCCUUUUACUGUAGUCGUAGGUUGACCAACUAAGAGUGGGGUAUUCUCCUUCAUGUUGGUCUUGAUUUGUGGUUAUGAUCGUUUUCUUCUUUUUACAGUUGCUUUGACACCAUGUCAUUUGAUGAAGAAAGCCGAUCGUCUAACUCACAAGCUCCAUUAUAUAUGCUUGGUGGCUCUUAUGCCUAUAAGAAAAGAUUCAUAGCCAACCUGUACUACGUCACUAAGGAGGCACAAUUUCAGAGAUGAUGAUCUCAGUUUUCUGCAGCUAUUCCUGACAGGACCCGAUCCAAAUUCCGCUUUGAAAUCCGAACCAGACUCUGUGUGUGUCCGACACCUGGCGAAUGUCGAGCACAAAUGACCUAUUUGCCCCUCAACACAAAACAUGAUAAAAUAACAAGGUUGACUUCUACUGAAAAAUCAGUAGAGUUUCCAUUGUAACUGGCUCAAUACCAAAACAUUUUCACCUGCCAAACAAGUAUACAUAUAUACAACCAACUACCAGCAUACGUAUAUAUACAUUCCAACAGUUCAAAUCUCAGUCUAUGACAAAACAUCAGAGCGACUACUAAGAAUUUACAAAGGAGUGAAUCCGUUUACAAACAAAAUCCUACAUCAGAAGAAAGGCGCGGAAGAUGGGAAGUGGCCCGGUGGUGGAUUUCUGUGCACGUCUACUGCCUGGGGGCGCAAAACAAUAAUAAGGGUGAGUGGACUCAAAAACAAAAUUGAGAAAAUAGUAUAAGAACAUACUAACCCCACUAUAAAAACAGUUAUACAAACUAGGUUAUUUUCUUUAUUUUUGAAAUCAAUGCAUGUAUAUAAUUAUAUACAUUUGAAAACAGUUUAAACUAUCACCUAGGUGUACCCUUAUUUCCGUAAAUUCCUUAUAUCCGUCAAUUCCUUGCAUCACCAUGGGUGACACAUACUCGCAGGUCUCAGUGACACGAAGUUAGUCCGAGCCGCAACUCGCAGGAUUCAGGGGAUCGUAGUCCACCUUUAUCCGCAUUACUCGCUCCACACGAGUUCGAGUACCAAGGAACUCGUGGGGCAACUGUUAAGCAUGCUGACUAAAUCGAAGGCAACAAAUAUAAUCCGAAGGCAACAUUUAAUAUCUGGGUACAAGGUGGUUUAAGAAAAUAUAAAGUUUCUGAAGAAAAUCUUAUGAAUAAUUAACUUUCUGUAACCUUUAAAAUUCUGCUGCCAUUUAUCUGAUAAUGAACGAGAAUAUCUGUUCCUAUAUUCUUUAAAGGAGAUUUCAUUCGGCAGCAUGCAACAUAAAAUAUUUAACAGAAUAAAACAACUUAUAAUUGAAACUAAACUGCUUAAAUUCAUUUAUUAAAACAAAGAGUCCACUCACUGAUAGUCUGAGCUCGCUGGACCUCUUGAAGGUCCCUCUUGCGGGUCAACUGGUACCCGGGUGCCUGAUUCAAUGACCAUAAUAUUCUAUUAAUACAAUAUAUAGUAUUAAAUUAAAAACCCUAUCCCUGGCUCCUAAACGUACGUGCAUCAAUUUAAAGUGAUCCCUAUGCCCAUAAAAGCUUUCCUUCUAUGUGGGAUAGUUUAGCGGUAUCUUAGGACUCAAAUAGCGCUAAAGUCCAAAAAGUCAAUCCGAGACCCCACCGGUCCAUGACCUCACAAUAUGAUCCGGAUGCCGCUAGAAGGUCCAAUAUAUUUAGGACACAUGUCCCGAGGGUAUUGGUGUCGAUCGGACGGUCGGAUUGAUCACAAUCCUGUAAUCGCAAAAUUUCUAACCCUAGCUCUAGUGUUCGCGUUUUUGAAGUAUCCGGGACUCCGAUUCACAAUCCGUCGAAUCCUACACGAUUCUAAAAUUAUCUAGAGUAACAUAUCGGAAACUGGUUACGAUCCAACGGCUCAACAGUAUUGAACCCGAUAAUCUCACAAUAUGGAAAAUCCGUUCGAGGCUCAAAUAGUAUCCAAAUUGAGAUCCGCGAAUUCCUAUGCGCUCGUGACGACAUAAGGAUCGUAUCAAGACACAGUGUCACUGCACUACACUCGUCCACACGCCGCCGCACGCGCCGGCAGCGAUGGGUGUCCAAAGCGAUUACGCAUCGCCGGAAAAUCUCAAAACCAAGGCUCCAAACUCCUAUCCUAGGUAUAACACCAUAUUUGGAACCACUUUUGUUCUUGGACCAACCCCAAAAACUGACUGGAAGUGGCCGAACACGGAGGCCGAAAACCAGCCGAAUUUCAAAUUACAGACUGAGCUACCUACGGUCAAAAUCGAUACAAACCUACCCAACCAUCAGCUAGAUCAUGGAAAAUAGGUAGAAAUCCAUACAUUACUCGACAAAUUUAGAGGAGAAUUGAAGGAGAACGAGCGGGUUGAAGUUUUGACAAAACCGAUCGGUUUUCUGCAAAUUUCGGCGACGUCAGUGGUGGAGUGGAGCGGCUGAGGGCCGAGACGUAUAGAGGCGGACGAGCUGGUUCUUUUGGGACCCGUGCCGACGGAAUUGAUGGCCGGACGUGGUGGUGGCGAGGAGUAGAAAAAAUCGGCUGGGGGGUGUUCGCGCGACGGGAGAGAGAGAGAGAGAGAGAAACUGAGGUUUUAUAAAAAAUUCUGAUUUUUUCAAUUUACCAAUUUGCCCUUAGUGAUAUUUUAAUCGUAUUUUCUUCGUUAAAGCUCCGAUUCGAGUUCACUUCGUGUCUAUGAACUCAUUUCGUCGUGCUCUACGCAACAGUGUAUGUGGAAUUGUCAAAUUCCUUUUCGAUCAAAAAGUCAACUUUGCGUUCAUAAUUUAUUCCAACGGCAAAAUUGUCUUUCCUCAUAAUAAAUUACUAAUUAUAAAUGAAUUUUUGGUUUGGGUCAUUACAGUUCCUACUGGUGUGAAUGUGAGUUUGGCUAAACCGUUCUCUAAGGUUGCGGAUCGUAUGGACCUGUAUAAUCCAAAUGCGAGGAUAAUCACAUUUCGCCCAUUCUAUUUAUUUUUAGGAUUCAAGUAUCCCAUGUCUAGGUUUUUCAAAGAAGUGUUCCAUGUCAUAGGGUGUGCUCCAUGUCUGUGUACCCCAAAUGUUUAUCGUGUUAUGAUGUGCUUUGACAACUUGAUCCACCUUUUCAAGUUGGGUCUGCCCUUGCAAGAAUUCUUCUUUUUCUUUGAAGUAAGGCGUAGUGAGAAAUUUGCUCAACUCUGCUCGUUCUGGGAAAUACUGCUUUGAUAACCUCAGUGCUGGUGACCACGCUUGGAGUAUGAACGUGUUAGAGAUUAGUGGAGAUUGGAAGGACAAUGUGAAUGAUGGCCCUCAGAUUCCCAUUACGUUUUUCCAACGUAUGUCUUGAUCUACUUUACCGACAUACUCAAAGUUUUUUUUGGUUAUAUAUGUGUUCAUGUGACUAACUUUUGUCUUUUACUUACAGUUGAUAUGAUCACAAAAAAGGAUUGAUACCUAAUUGGCCAUGGCUAUAGUCCAUAAGGGCUUAAACAUUCCACAGAGGUUCAAAUUUAUAAGGCUAUAGAGAAAUGGAAGGCGGCUUGCAUUUGCCUAUAAAUAAAUAUCUUAUAUCCCCUCCUUCUUUAUAUCCCACUUUCUUCAUCUUUCUGACUCUUUCGCCUAUAGCAUCUAUGAAGAUGUUUUUCUUCAAGAAGGCCACUUCACCAAAUUAACACUACAAAAUGCAGCAAAAAAAAACACUUUGAAAAUCAAAUACGAAGCUUGUACGAACCAACAAGUGGGCAUCAUAGCUGCUAAGGUAAAUCCAGAGGAUCUCAAAAGGAUAGGUGUGAGUAGCUCCGAUGAGAAUGAUAAAAAAAAAAAGGAUGGGUCUGAGUAGCUCUGAUGAGAACGAUGGAAAUGAGGGUAUGACUAAGAUUCCAGACACCAAUAUGCCGCACUUUGAAAUACAACACUACCUUCCUAGGAGUUUUCCAAUCUAUCUUCAAUAGAGGAUUAAAAGAAACAAUGCUGGUCAUUUAUGAGAAUAAGGAGAUCAAGUGGACCAUGUCGUCCUCUAACCUGGCUGGAUGUGGAUUCACAUUGGAAGACUGAGCAGUCAUUCUUGUGUCUACACAAUUCCUUGCAAAACCAGUUAUGAAAUAUGAGGCAGACUUGAGCACCAAAUGGGGAUCCUCAGGGGCUCGACCAGAGGUGCUACCUAUUCCCGUCACCAAGAGCCAUUUUGGAGGCGAGGACAAGGAACCUGUUAAGAAACCCGAGAGUGGAAAUGGAAAUGAAGCCUCUGACGGCUCCGACAGCCCAAAUGGCGUCGUCUCACCCAAUGAUUGUCCUAAUAUGAAGAGCAACAGACCUAGGUUUAAUGGCCAUGAAAAUGGAGCAAUACUCGAUCUGAAACUCAAACUAGUUGGUGGUACUAAAUAAGCUAAUUGUGGUAGUGGUCCUAAUAUGAAGCUAGCGGGCGAACCUAGCUCUAAUGGCCAUGAAAAUGGAGCAACAAUUAAUUUGAAACCUAGCCUAGGUGGUAAUGAAAGAGCUAACGGUGGUGGUAGUACUGUAGGGGAAGUUUCUGUUGGAGAAGAUGAGCUUUUUGAGAAGGUUCUGGAUAAGAUGUUCGAGAUAUUUGGUGGUUCAUGUGGGAACAAGGAAUUUUGGCAACCACUCCGGUGAUGCCAUGUGGAAAUUGGAAUAUGCCAUAGGUCAUCUUGAAUAUGCCAAUUAAAUUGAUUUAAAAUGGAAAAUAUCUCCAUAAGUCAAGGAUUAUGAUUUCAUUAAAUCUCCUUGAUCUCCUUAUUAAUGGAAAGGAAUAAUUCCCUUAAAAAAAUUAUUCUCUCUCUUGAUUAUUCCAAAUAUGGCACAAGGUGAUAAGACUAUAGAAAGACAAGUAUAUUUCACAAAGAGGUAACUUCCAAACCCAUGAGAACUCUCUCUCUCUCUCUCUCUCUCUCUCUCUCUCUCUCUCUCUCUCUAUGGCUCUCACGCCACCUCAUUCUCCCCCUGAGAGCACUCAUUUCCUUUAAGAAAUACAUGCAUCUCCAUGAGACUGUAUUCUAACUUAGGCAUUGGAGGGCCCUUGGCCAACACCACACCUGUGUUCUCCAAUUGACCGUUCUUGUUUUGCAAGGAAUCUUAGAAGAACGUACUAAAGUGGUGCGAAGAUGUUCUCCAAAUCUGCUCGAGAGGAAAAUUGCAUUCACAGUUAACUCAUAGAAUAAUUUUAGAAAAGAAAAAAAAAAGCCUAGGCCGACUAGGAAGAAUAAAGAAUAGCAAUUAAAAAAUAGGUCCCGCAAAUGCCACAUUGGCACUUAACAUUUUUAUUAACAGUUUGGCUAAAAGAGGAAGUAAAUUGUAGGUUUUUCGUGAGUUUGAGUAUGUACUUGUAAAUGUCUCCAAAGAUGGGUAUGGACUUGAAAAUGGCCUUAUAGUUUGGGGUAUCUUAUGUAGUUUGUCCAUAAGAAUAAUACUUGAGACAUUAACUAAAUAUGAUUUUAUUUUAUUUAUUUUCUAUCCAAGGGUGAUUGCUGUCAAAUUUGUCUUUACAUAUUAUUAUGAUUGUUUGUAAGAAAUAAAUAAAUAAAUAAAUAAAUAUAUAUAUGCAUGUGUGCAUAUAGUCAAUGAUAUCAAUGCAAAUGAGUAAUGAAAUUUGAAUAUGUAUAGUUUAAGGAGGCUGUAUUCAAUUAGGAUUCUAGAGCGUUUAAAAAGAUUUUGUUUAAGUGCCAAAUUUCAUAGAAUUUGAUGGAACUUUAGAAUUCGUAUAGAACUUGAUAGACUUUCAAAAGACUUCUAUAUAAUUUUUUAAUGAACUUUCUUAAGAUUUGUAUGGCUUUUAUUCCAGACUUCUAUAAUUUCUUUAACAUAUUUUUUAAAAAACAAAUGCUAAGAGCCAACUAAUUAGUCAUAUCAUCCACGAGAUGUAGCAUCAAUCAUGAGUUGCAACAACAUUCUUCUCUCUUCUACACUCCAAGCGUUACAAUCUUGUUUGCUCUUCCCUUUUCUAUUUACUUGUUGUGUAUUUUCAGACUCUAUUUGAGUGGUGCAGCUAUGAAUUUUAUCAUAUCAAUAAAAAAUAAAGCAUACAAAAUAUACAAAACCCAUAAAACACUACAAACGUUGAUCCCAAAAAUGUACAUCAGCAACCAUAGACUCCCAGUGCCACGUAGGUAACUAAUAGAGAGAUAUGAUAGAAACCCUAAAGACGGAACCAUAUUGUAAUAAAUUUAAAAGACUAGGGUAUGUGAUUGUUAAAAUUUAAAAAGAUAAGGGCUAACAUGUCUUAAGAGUAUAACCACAAGGUAUUAAACUAUAAUUAACCACAAAAAACAAAAAAACAAAAAAACAAACAAAUGAGAUGCGAAAAAUCAAUAAUGACCUAAAGGUAUUGUAAUCUAGCAUGGUAAAAACGACAUUGCCUAUUUAUCUUUAUUCACGAAUUGACCCCAACGUGUCUUGUCUUUUAGCAUUCAAAACUAUUCCUAAAUUUCCAAUUGGUCCUUUUAAAGUUGAGGACAUACAUGGUUUACCGUAUACUUUCGAUUUUGUUAACUCUACUAAAGGCGUUACGCUCCAAGUUAGUAUUCAAUAUUAGAAGAAGUUUCAAGUUCAAAUCGCGUUCAAAUCAUCCAUACUAAUAAUGAUAUGACUUGAGAUUAGGUUGUUACAAAUAUGACUAGGAUCAAAGACACCCUUAAUUGAGAGUGUAAAAACAAUUGUGCUGAAGAUAAUUGUUUAUAUCAUAUUUGAUUGCUCAGUCAUUCUGCGACACGUGGAGCAUGGGACCUAUAAAAGGAGCCCAUUGAGCCCAGUAAAAAUACUGAGGUCUAUAAACAACUAUCGAUAGUAGGUGAGCCUUCGGCAACCUACUUGCCGAUCUGACUAAAGGCAUCUCGCAAGCUAUCUCUUACACGGACACGUGGUAGCUCCUUAGGCAUCAAAAUACAACUCGAACUCGAAGUGCACACCUCCCAAGAAUAUAUAAAUAGGGGCACAAGUCCCCAAAAGUGAGGUAACAGUUACAUUCGGCUACUUAGCCUUUACUGUAUCAAAGUUACUAUUCAUUCCAUCUUUAAACUAACUUAAAUAUUGGAGAGCCUUCGAUCGGCACCACACCGGUGCCCAAAGUCUUGCCGUUGCUCUUUUCUUGCAGAUAAUCCUUGUCUGCCCAAGAGUCCUAAAGGUCGAAGAUAACAUCACAUCUCUAAGUUGGGUCCACAAAUAGUUUUCUAUUUUUGGGCAUCAACAAUAAUAAUUCUAAGUGAGAAGAUAAGAUUAUUUGACUUUUUAACAUUUGUCUUGGGUCUUUGUUGUGCCAGCUCAUUAGAUACUCCUGCAUCAGUUGCCUAAUUUGAAGCUUUAAGCCAAGGUUGUAGGCACCACUAUGAUUGUCAGUUGAUGGGCAUAAGACAAUGGAAUUCACCAUAUAUGUAGCUUCUCCUAUUUACAUAAAUAUUGUGGGUAAUGGGUUUUAGCCUCUCCAUAAAAAGGAAGGAUUGCCCACAACAAGCUUGUUGUCAGUGGUCCUAUAUAAUCAAGAAUUUGUCAAUGAAUAAAGAUUAGAAGUUACGUGAUGAAAAUAUAGACUCAUAGAUGCGUGCAAUUGGUGAUAGAGUAAAUUUAUCUUUUUUAUUAUGUGUCGAAAUCACGUGAUAAGAUAGAUAUAUUCAUGAACAUAUACGACUGAUGGUAGGGCAUAUUUGGAUGUUUUGGUGUCACUAGUCUUAUAUAUUUAUGAGUUUGUCUCUCUCGUUAAACAUUGAAGUCACAUAAUAAGAGAUAUAGACUCUUAAAUAUAUACAACUGAUGAUAUGACAGAUUUACCUCUUUUAUUACGUGUCGAAAUCACAUAAUAACGAAGAUAGACUCACAUAUACAUAAAACUGGUGAUAGAACAAAUUUUCUCCCCCUUUAAGACUUUAACCAAUGCUUGGCUGGUUUUAUUUAUUGGAUGAAGAAAAUACUCUUCUCUCACUUCUGAUUCUCUAGCUCUCCUUCUAGGCCUCAAACUCCUAACUUAUAGGCCCAGCUCAUCUCAAUUCUAAAUCCUAAUAUAUAUUCUUUCACAUGCUAUUUUCUUUAUGAGAACCUCUAAAUUUGACUAACAUUCCCACUUUUAGAAUAAACCCAAAAGAAACAUGAAGAUCUUGUAGCCAUGAAAGUGUCUCAGUUUUUUAUUAAAUCAAUUUGCUGCUUUCUUCCAUAUCUGUCCCUCCCUGUUACAUUCCAAUAAGAUGCUCAUUUCUUGGAUGCUUGCACGAGGCCUUCUGAAAAUAUUCCAAGUGUUUUUUUAUUAUCUGUCUCCCACAUCCCUCCCAUUAUCCAUGCCUUGCUCUUCUUUAUUUUAUCAUGGAACAUAAUCAUAUAUCUAUUUUACACUUUAGUAUAAUGAAAGGCCACGUAACAUGACAGUAAAAGUUGCCCCAACUUUAUGCAAACUCUGGGUAAAUUAAAAAGUAUACGGAAUUUUGAAGUGGAAGGUUCUUGGGGUGAGGAAAAUGAAAAGUGUGAUCUUGGUAUGUUUAUAUGUUAUGACUCUUUAUUUGAUAGAAUUGAUUUUUUAAUUUAUUCAACAUCUUUAAUACAUGAUAUUUGAACUUAAGACAUUCUCCAAAAAAAGUGAAGAUUUACGUACGUAUAUACGAGAAGAUGCACAUCCGCUAACAUUAAGUAUUAUUUUACUGGAAUGAUUAACAGAGCCAUCACUUAGUUUACUGAGAAAUAUUUAAUUUUGUGUGUCAGUAGAAGCCUGAACACUCCUUUGGAUGCAAAGUAUAGGAUUAACUGUAUGUAUCAUAUGUUUGCAUGUGCAUUUCUUAUAAUUUAUAGCUUUGUUUGCAUCUUGAAUGCUACCUAGUAGGGAAGGUUAUAUCUUCUACUCUCCAUUUUCUACUAAAUCAUUCAUACUGUGAUAGCUUGCACUUGAAACAAAAAUGUUUGCUUUGCCAUUAUGAAUCCAAUCAUUCAAGCUCAGAUUGAGGCAUUCGAGCUCUUUCUCCCCUACUUCUUUGGUCCCCUUCUCAACUAAAUUGAGUAAAUUUUAAGCCACUUCAUUUAAAAAUAAUAAUAUGAAUCUAGCAGCUUUGCACAUGGAUUGAUGUAGAGCAAUUUUAGUUUCUCUCACAUUUUAUGCACAAUGUAGCAUUUGCCUAUACGGAUUCGGAAAAUCGAAAUCAAGUUACAUCUUAGAAUGAAUGUGAUGGUUGUAUUGUAUGAGAUAUGACACUCUUAAUUAAAUGGAAGUUCUAUAAUCUUCAUUAUUAGAAACUACAGAAAUAAAACAAUGCAGAUAAUUGGACAUCCGAAGUUCUGCAGACUGCUGCAGAAUUUGGUCUGUUGCUUCAUCUGCUGCCUUCUCCCUGUUACUUUCUCUUAUAUAGAUGCUCAUGAGUCAUAUGCAUGUCAGUUGGGUUGAUUUUUGAAGUGUCCUCUCUCUUCCCUUGCUUUGCCUCUAAAUUCCAGUCCUUACUUUUGUUUUUUCCACGACAAGAUGAGUUUUAUCAGCAUUUUCUGGAUGAAAACAAAUGCCAAUGAGGCUUUUCCCAUUUCUUGCAGUGCAUCAUAAUUCUGAUUCACUUCAGUAAUGUAAGCAAAUUGAGCUUUAUAAGUAAGGUGAAUCUAUUCACAUGCAAAUUUUUACUCCAAGAAAUUGUUGAUGCAUUCUUUUGCACUGCCGACACCCAAGUAAGUUUCAUAAAAAUAACACAUUAACAGAAAUUCUGUUUCACAACAAUUGUUACAAAUCUGCUUCUUUCUCUCAAGUUCUCAGCCUCACUUUCCAGGAACAAAGUUUGUGGCAUAUGACCAAGCAUUGUUGUUAACAGGAUCAGCUAAGUGGUCAGCCAAGUUCUCAAUUGGCCCCUUUCCUGUAACAAUGGCCUGCACAAAGAAACCAAACAUGGAAAACAUGGCGAGUCUUCCAUUCUUCAGCUCCUUCACCUUCAGCUCAGCGAAAGCCUCUGGAUCCUCUGCAAGGCCUAAUGGGUCAAAGCUCCCACCUGGAUAUAAUGGGUCAGUGAUCUCUCCGAGAGGCCCACCUGCAACUCUGUAACCUUCCACUGCACCCAUCAAGAUAACUUGUGUGGCCCAAAUUGCUAAAAUGCUUUGGGCAUGGACUAAGCUUGGGUUUCCCAAGUAGUCUAGCCCACCCUCACUGAAUAUCUGGGCGCCAGCCUUGAACCAUACAGCCUCACCGAACUUGACCCCGUUACGGGACAAGAGUUCAGGGAAAACGCAGCCCAGAGCACCAAGCAUGGCCCAUCUUGAAUGGAUAACUUCAAGCUCACGGUUCUUGGCAAAGGUCUCUGGGUCAGCUGAGAGCCCAGCAGUGUCCCAACCGUAAUCACCAGGGAAUUCUCCAGUGAGGUAAGAGGGGGCCUCGCCAGAGAAGGGGCCCAAGUAUUUGACACGGUCCGGGCCAUACCACGGGCUGCCAGAUGAUACAUUUUUGGACUUGGAUGCGGUUUUGCGCAUGGUAAUUCGGCCCUCACCAACAAUGUUAGAAACAGAGGAACCGAGCUUGACAGCUUGGCCAGCAAGAGAAGGGGAGGAGAGAGCCAUUGUUGAAGAAGCCAUUUGAGAAAAAUGGAAGUGUAUUGACUACUGAGUAUUUCAGUCUCUCUAGACAAUGUGGGAAGGCCGGGUGCCUGUUGUUGUUGUUUUGGUAGAGACGUUGGUGGGUGUAUGUAUAGGUUUGAGGGUGCAUGAGGUCCUUAUCUUUGUGAUAUCUUCAUCUCUUUUCUGAUUGGUGAAAAUGAUGUUCAAGGAUUUUCAAGACGGAUCUCUUCGUUUGAGCUUUGAUGCUUUUCCCGUUGGCUUGAUAUGCUCCACUACUUUACUUCCGAACAACAAAACGAAAAAGGAAAAAUUAAAAAUCUGUUUUGGAUAUUAUUACAUGCUUCGAAUGAGCUCUAAGCCAAUUGAAUUUAGUCACUACUGUUUGUGGUGGUGAGAAACGUCUUCAUUUCCAGGUGGCUUGAUGUGUUCCACUAGUUAGGUCUCAAGACAUGCAAGGAAGAAGAAAAUAUAUCCGUUGAUCUCUGUAGCCAAUAGAAAAUGGCCACAUACUCUUUUCAUGAGAGAGAAUCUAAGGAUGAUAACUUGUAACACAACAGACAAUUGGUAGCGUUGUUAUCCACCAUAGUUCUUCACAUGAAUCCAGAAAUGACAAGACACCAUAGUUCUUCCGUUUUCACUUUCAGAUGGACAAAUUCUCACCCUCCCUCACAUGUAUAUAUUUUUGGUAAUAAAUUAUUGGAGGGGGGAGUUUACACAAAUAUUUAUUUGAUAUUUGGGAAUUUCGAACUUCUGCUCACAUAAGUGGAGGUGGAAGAGCUAUCAACUAAGUUAUACCCUACUAAUAUUCACAUAUAUUUAAUCCAACCUAAAAUGUCCACUAACUAACUAUUUUUUUUAAUGAGAGAAAGGAAACCAACAAAGACACGACCCUUUAGGGCACGCAAGCCCAAAUAGGUCCAAAUAAAAAGAAGAACCAAUAGAAAGAGGGAGACCACUCUGCCACAGCUUCGAAGGCGAAAGCAAAUGACCAAGGGAAGCAAGAGCAUCUGCAACCCCAUUGACUUCACGAAAGACAUGAGAGAAGGAGAUUUGAUCACAUAAUAUUGUGAGAUGUAGAAUAUCUUGGACAAGCUGAUUAAUGCACGAGGAAGUCGAGCAUCGCUUCAAAACUGAGUCAAUGACAAGCUUAGAAUCUCCAUGAAAUAAGAGUUUGGACCAACUCUUGGAAACAACAUAAGCCAAGCCAUCUCUAAGCUCCAAACAUUCCACCACAAUAAUAGAAUUGCGACCAAUCUUCUUAGCACCAACUAGCACAGUAUGAGCAUUAUCAUCUCUAAUAACAAAGCCGAUCGUAGCAUAACUAUUUAUUUAGAUAAAGAGUUUGUAAGUCAAGUAGUUAAUAAUAUUAUUAUUCAUCUAUUCAGUGGCGGAGUCAGGAUUUUACAUUAAAGGAGGCCCUUUAAAAAAAUUUAUAAAAUAAUUCAAAUAGGAGCACUAACUGGUUAGUAAGUUAAUACGAUACUAAUUACUCGGUUUAGCUCACUGCAUAAUAUCAUUUCAUAUUGAUUAAUAAUUUAUUCGUUCAUUACAAUCAUAAUUGUCCUUAAUUUCAUAUUAUAAAAUAAUUGAAUAUUAAUCUCAUAAUCUACACUAUUAAAGAUUCAUACUCAUACGUUAAUAAUUUAUAUUCCAACAGAGAGAAUAAAUACAAAAAAGUUCAUAAAUCCAAUAUUAAAGUACCCUACUACUCAGACAUGUAAAAAGGAAGGGAAAAAAAUCACAAAGCGUAAGCUUAAGUUAAACAAAAGAGGAAGAGAAAGAGAAGGGAAAAAAUUAGGAGUUUUUAGUGCAAAUAUCAUAACAUAAUCUAGUAGAUUUAAUUGAAAGUAAAAGAGUGAUUAAGAAGUUUAAUGGUUAAUUUAUACUACAAUUAUCGAUUAGUCGAAAUGGUCAUUGGUAACAUAAAUAUAUACUUUGUUGAUCAUAAUAUGUCACAUAGCAUUUUAAUCCUUACUAAUUGUAGUAUAAAUACUAUUAAAUCUCACAGAUUGGGACUCUUACCAAACAGUUAGAAGUAAGAUGAAUAUCAGUGAAUUUAGAGCCAGGUGAACUUGUCAACAAAACAACAAGUAGAUUAAAUGAGAGGUAAUCUACAGCAAGGCGAUAACUUAUCCUUUCAGAUCUUGAUGACCACUAGAAUUACAGUCUAAUCCAAUUUCAUCAACAUAAUUAAGCACAAUUGCCAAAACCAUUAGGAAAAGCACACUUCUCUCUCAAUCUCAGGCUCACUUGCCGGGAACAAAGUUUGUGGCGUAUGCCCAGGCAUUGUUGUUAACAGGGUCAGCCAAGUGGUCAGCUAAGUUCUCAAUUGGUCCCUUCCCUGUAACAAUGGCCUGCACAAAGAACCCAAACAUAGAAAACAUGGCCAGUCUUCCAUUCUUCAGCUCCUUCACCUUCAGCUCAGCAAAAGCUUCUGGAUCUUCUGCAAGGCCUAAUGGGUCAAAGCUCCCACCUGGGUACAAUGGGUCUGUCACCUCACCAAGGGGCCCACCAGCAAUUCUGUAACCUUCAACUGCACCCAUCAAGAUAACUUGUGUGGCCCAUAUUGCCAAAAUGCUUUGGGCAUGGACUAAGCUUGGGUUUCCCAAGUAGUCUAGACCACCCUCACUGAAGAUUUGGGCCCCAGCCUUGAACCAAACAGCUUCGCCGAACUUGACUCCGUUACGGGACAAGAGUUCGGGGAAAACACAGCCCAAAGCGCCGAGCAUGGCCCAUCUUGAGUGGAUGACCUCAAGCUCACGGUUCUUGGCAAAGGUCUCAGGGUCAGCCGAGAGCCCAGCAGUGUCCCAACCGUAAUCGCCGGGGAAUUCUCCAGUGAGGUAAGAAGGGGCCUCGCCAGAGAACGGGCCCAAGUAUUUGACACGGUCAGGGCCGUACCACGGGCUGCCGGAUGAAACAUUUUUGGACCUGGAUGCGGUUUUGCGCAUGGUAACUCGGCCCUCACCAACAAUGUUAGAAACAGAGGAACCGAGCUUGACAGCUUGGCCAGCAAGAGAAGGGGAGGAGAGAGCCAUUGUUGAAGAAGCCAUUUGAGGAAAAAUGAAAGUGUAUUAUUUGUGAAAAUCUUCAGUCUCUCAGACAAUGUGAGAGGGCCGAGUGCUUGUUUUCUUUGGGAAGAAGAGACGUUGGUGGGUAUUUGUAUAGGUUUGGUUCAAAGGGUCCUUAUCUUUCUGAUAUCUUCAUCUCUUUUCUCAUUGGAGAAGACCAAGUUUGAAAAUCUCUACCCUUCCAGUUGGCUUGAUAUGCUCCACUAGUUUAUUACUUCCCAAAACAGAAAGAAAAAUUAAUAUCAAAUUUGGAAAUUAUAUGCUUUGAUUUCUAGCCACUACUAGAAUUUUGUCCACGCACACUUUCUUUAUUUCCAGUUGGCUUGAUAUGCUUCACUAGUUUUUCUCCAGGGACAAAAAAAAAAAAAAAAAAGAGAUCAGAAAAAUCAAGUUUGGAUAUUUUAUAUUACUUCUAUCUUUGGCCAAUGGAAUUUGCCCACGUACUCUUUCGGAUGAGGGUGAUGAGAGAGGAAAAAUCUGAGUAUUCAAAUGAAUAAUUUAGAGCAACUCUAUUUUAACAUGAUUAUGUCUAAUUGAAAUUGUAGAGAAAAUUACUUCUUUUAUUAUGUGUUCUAAUCUAAGAGUGUGUCAGUUUAGAUGCAAUAUGGAUGCGGUUUUGGACAAAUGUGGCGGUUUGAUCUUAAUUUAGAUGUAGCUCUGGAACAUAGCUAAUGCCAUAGAACUUACAUUCAGAGAUUAGCACUACAUAUCCAGCAGCUUGUGCUGAGCCAUAAACUUAUAAGAGACUUCAGCUGCUGCUCUUACCAUAGAGGAGAGUGCUACAAAAUGUUGAGGGCAUUUCAUAUUGAAGAGGACGGAAGUCUAGCUUAAGAGUUUAGAAGAUCUUGGGCGUCUUCAUUCAUUGCUAAUUGAUUUUUAGUUGAUUGGAAGUUUAAAUUCUAAUAUAAUAUCAUGAUAGGCUAUUCAUGUGCCAAGCCAAACAAUCCCACAUGUUCCCCAAUAAGAAUUGUUCACUGAUUAAGCACAAAAGAAGCGACACGCGGGGGCGUGUUGAGAGUAUCUCACAUGAAAAGAUUGAAGUUUAUUUUAAGAUUUUAAAAGAUCUCUUAACUAAUUCCAUAGCAAUCUUGUUUUUAUUUAUUUAAUUGAGUUUAACUUGUAUUAAACUCCAUCACACACUGAUAUUGCAUUUUCAUGACAAGAUGGAUUGGCUGUGAAGGUGGUGCAACUUUUUAUUUAUUUAUGGCGUUUUACUUUCUAUAUUUAUUCAUCACCAUUUUUUUGGUAUGAGUUGGUGAAAACAAAUGCCAAUUACGAGUCUUUCCUCAUUUCUUGCAAGUCACAAUGUUGAUUCAUCGAGUUGUCAGAACUAAGAACAUUGAGUUUUUGAAGUAAGGUGAAAAAUUCCCAUACAAAUGUAUACUCAAAGAACAUUUAUCAGAUUUGUUCUUAUAUUCCUCUGCAUUGACCACCAAAUUUCAUCAGAAAAAAAAAAAAAACAAGAACACUUCAAAGAAAUCCCAUUCAAAACAGUGGCCCUCGCAAUUUGUAAAAACGCUUCUCUCUCAAGUUCUCCAUGCACCUCACUUCCCAGGAACAAAGUUUGUGGCGUAUGACCAAGCAUUGUUGUUUAACAGGAUCAGCCAAGUGGUCAGCUAAGUUCUCUAUUGGUCCCUUUCCAGUAACAAUGGCCUGCACAAAGAACCCAAACAUGGAAAACAUGGCGAGUCUUCCAUUCUUCAGCUCAGCGAGAGCCUCUGGAUCCUCUGCAAGGCCUAAUGGGUCAAAGCUCCCACCUGGAUAUAAUGGGUCAGUGAUCUCUCCGAGAGGCCCACCUGCAACUCUGUAACCUUCCACUGAUAACUUGUGUGGCUCAAAUUGCCAAAAUGCUUUGGGCAUUGACUAAGCUUGGGUUUCCCAAGUAGUCUAGCCCACCGUCACUGAAGAUUUGGGCCCCAGCCUUGAACCAAACAGCUUCUCAGAACUUGACUCCGUUACGAGACAAGAGUUCGGGGAAAUCAUAGCCCAAAGCCCCGAGCAUGGCCCAUCUUGAGUGGAUGACUUCAAGUUCACGGUUUUUGGUAAAGGUUUCUGGGUCAGCUGAGAGCCCAGCAGUGUCCCAACCGUAAUCACCGGGGAAUUCUUCAGGAGUCAGUACGGUAAGAAGGGGCCUCACCAGAGAACGGGCCCAAGUAUUUGACACGGUCGGGGCCGUACCACGGACUGCUGGAUGAAACAUUUUUGGACUUGGAUGCGGUUUUGCGCAUUGUAACUCGGCCCUCACGUCACCAACAAUUAUAGAAACAGAGGAACCGAGCUUGACAGCUUGGCCAGCAAGAGAAGGGGAGGAGAGAGCCAUUGUUGAAGAGGCCAUUUUAGAAAAAUGAAAGUGUAUUGUAUUGAGGGUUGCCUUUUAGACAAUGUGGGAUUGUCAAGUGCCAAGUGUCAA